GAUGAACGCUAGCGGCAGGCUUAAUACAUGCAAGUCAAGGGGUAGCAAUACAACCGGCGCACGGGUGAGUAACGCGUACACAACAUAUCAUAUACUGGAGUAUAGCUUCGGGAAACUGAAGGUAAUCCUCCAUAACAUUGCGAGAAGGCAUCUAAUUGCAAUUAAAGUUUCGACGGUAUAUGAUUGGUGUGCGUUUGAUUAGCUAGUUGGUAGGGUAACGGCCUACCAAGGCGACGAUCAAUAGCUGGCGUGAGAGCGCGACCAGCACACUGGAACUGAGACACGGUCCAGACUCCUACGGGAGGCAGCAGUAGGGAAUAUUGG
rnacentral:rRNA from 1 species